CUUAGGUCAACCUAGGUGUGUGAAUUAGGACUGCUGAAUUUUAAAAUGGAAGCUAAGUAUGUGUUAGACCCUCUUGACAAACCAAGGUUUUGAUGCCGUUGGGAUUAUUAUUGGGCUACCAUCUUCAAGAUCGAGUACAGGGAACAUUCUUCGGGUCGAAUGCAAAAUGCCCCUAGUAGAAGCGCCAAAGGAGGCCCUACCGCUUGAUUGCAGGCCUAGUUUUGGCACAGCAUGGAUGACCAAAUACAAUUUCAGAGUAGGUGAUUCAGAGUUGUUGACGGUUGUUCGUCUUAGAUCUCAUACAGUAUCAUGUCAUAUAACUGGUGAUUUCUUAAAUGACUGGUUCGUCCUCAAACUGUUAUGCAUGUAUUUCAGGUGAAUGGAACAUACAACUGUAAGUACACACCCGGCAUUUCCGAUGUGGAUAUCUUUCCUGGAAAUCUCUUCAACUGUCAAGCUAAAGACCCAUCUAAGAUCGACAUAAUUCGAAAAUAUUCUUUGCUCUCAAUGAAGAUCAUAGGUUUCUGGUUCACCAUCAAGGGGACCAUAAGCGUGUAGUUCGAGAAUCAGCAGUAUCUGGAAUUUUCACCGGAAUGGAUACUUCAGUGUACUCAUUCUGGUUAGAGUGCUCCAGAGAUCGAAGUCAAGUUUUGCUAGCAUCCUGGAUGCUAGAAAUCUCCGUCUUUCCGUGUACAGGUAAUUAUGCACGGGGCAUGCUUUUGAUUGGUAUCGAAAAAAUGCAUAUGAAGACUGAAUAAAUUAUGAGGAGUUCCCUUUGUAUAUAUCACAACAGCGCAAAUUUAGCAGUAGAAGGGUUUUGGCAAUUUCAGAGACUUUUUCUGGGACUCAGUCAAUCUCAGAUUUGUUGCAUUCUCCAAUUUCGGACAUCAGCCCUUAAAUCAGAUGAUACAUUGGCUGUAGAGUUCCCAGGUGACUACCUGCAGGUGCUCACACUGCAAGAUCUAAGGUAUGCAACCACUACCAGCACCACCAAUCAGCCGAGAGUCUCGGCCCAAGAUUACCUGUUUGACAACAGUACUGGUCCUUUGAUUCUGAACCCGCUUCACAAGAUACCAUAAGGCCUGAAACACGAUGAUCAAUCUCUUCAAGUUCAAUCUUCCUACGGGGAGUGGCUUAAGAAAACCAGAGAACUAUUGGUUAAAUCAAAAUGAGAACAACUGACUCAAGUCCAUUCUGCACCACGACUCAGCUUUCAAUGUCUAUGCCAGUUGCUUCCUUUGGUUCCUCCGCAGCUAGCACUCAUCCCCUUGACUGAUUAUGGCAACAAAACUCUUCCUCGGAGUCACUAUGAAGCGUUGAAGUGAAAAUACAACAGAAAACAAGCUCAAGUUUCAUGGUUCAAUACAAAAAGAACAACAGAAUUAUCUUGUGGUUGUUUUUAACUCGCAUUUUCAGGUUUUCUAACUUUCUUUAUUCGAAACCCGAAGGAAAUAUGCAUCUUAUGUUGAGGUUCACUGGUUGUCUAUUUUCUGUAUGAUACAUUGAAUUGUAGAAGUGUCAUAUCAUGCAGUACUUACCUUGUUGCAGCAACAAUCUGCAGAAUAUACAUUCUCAUGUGUCCGGUAUUCUAGAUGUCGAAGCACUACACCUUGGUUUUAUGAUGCCACAUUGAGAAAUGUUAUUGUUUAAGGUGCAGGCAUUGUUAACAGGUCUCAGUUGAUGAUUUCAAGCCUUUCUUUUUCAGAUCCACUCCAUUAAACACCAUGCCAGAAGCUCUGAGGAGACCAGAAGUGGAAGUCAUUUUCUUGAAAGGUGUACUGUUCCAUAUAGAAGUGGUCCAAAAUGGACCAGGUUACUGCAAAUGAUGAGCCAUAAACUCAUGCUGCAGUGCACACUUGAUAAAUCUGGUAGUCUUGUUUCCUACAAAGGGGAUGACCCUAAGUUUGUAGGGAGUCUUGAGGUAGCAUCACCUGGUAGAUGGUCCCAUUUUCUACAGAAAUGGUGGGAGUCUUUACUGUUUGUUUAUAAUUGAAUCCUUUAGGUGUUUGGCCUUGCACAGAGGAGACCAUGCCUUUAAGUGAAGUCCUGACCAACCUUCCUCUGGAAUCAUGUCAGUCCCACCUUUGUUUUUGUUUUGUUGGGAAAUAGUGGUUGAACCAUCACUUGGGCUUCUUUAUUCAAGAACAUCUACAACUACCUAGCUCCAAAUAACAUCCAUCAAUCCAUCAAUCCAUCCAUCCAUAUUUUUGGGUCACAUGACAAAUUUUUUGGAUGUCUUAGUGACAUGUUUAGGGCCAUGAUAUCUGGGGAUACCAAGACUAGCCAGGGAUGCCAUUCGAACAAUCCGACAAUCAAGAUCUAUUAGGUCUACUAGGAGUUGUUUGUCUAUAUACUGUAUAAUGAUAUCAGCCCCGAUAAAACUGGUAUUUCCUGACAUGUUUACUAGGGUUUAUGGCUCCUCGGUCCAUGAUAUAUGUGGAUACCAAGACUAGUCUGGGAUGCCAUUUGAUCGAUCCGACGAUCAAGAUCUAUUAGAAUUUGUUUGUCUGCAUGUAAUGGUAUCAGCCUUGAUUACCGGGGAUUGUGAGAAAUACCGGAAGAAACAAAAAAAAUG